GACGAACGCUGGCGGCGUGCCUAAUACAUGCAAGUAGAACGCUGAAGGAGGAGCUUGCUUCUCUGGAUGAGUUGCGAACGGGUGAGUAACGCGUAGGUAACCUGCCUGGUAGCGGGGGAUAACUAUUGGAAACGAUAGCUAAUACCGCAUAAGAGUAGAUGUUGCAUGACAUUUGCUUAAAAGGUGCAAUUGCAUCACUACCAGAUGGACCUGCGUUGUAUUAGCUAGUUGGUGAGGUAACGGCUCACCAAGGCGACGAUACAUAGCCGACCUGAGAGGGUGAUCGGCCACACUGGGACUGAGACACGGCCCAGACUCCUACGGGAGGCAGCAGUAGGGAAUCUUCGGCAAUGGACGGAAGUCUGACCGAGCAACGCCGCGUGAGUGAAGAAGGUUUUCGGAUCGUAAAGCUCUGUUGUAAGAGAAGAACGAGUGUGAGAGUGGAAAGUUCACACUGUGACGGUAUCUUACCAGAAAGGGACAGCUAACUACGUG
rnacentral:rRNA from 1 species